GCCCCGCGCGAGCGCCGCGGGCUCGGGACGCGAGCUGGGAGCUCCCGAGCCGGAGGGAAAAGGCGGGUCUCCGGCUUGUUUUGAUUCGGCUUCGCUGACACGCUCUGGCCCCGCCCCCGCCCGUGACGACACUGGGGAUUCGGCCUGGCCGCGCCCACCAGGUGACCUCACGGCGGAGCGGAGCGGACCGGCCGCGUGACGUCCCGCGCGAGCGCCGCGGGCUCGGGACGCGAGCUGGGAGCUCCCGAGCCGGAGGGAAAAGGCGGGUCUCCGGCUUGUUUUGAUUCGGCUUCGCUGACACGCUCUGGCCCCGCCCCCGCCCGUGACGACACUGGGGAUUCGGCCUGGCCGCGCCCACCAGGUGACCUCACGGCGGAGCGGAGCGGACCGGCCGCGUGACGUCACGCCCGCGCUGAGCCGGCCGCUUUCGAGUGACGUCAUCCUGACGCCCUCACGGGGGUCUGCGCAGCUCCUGGGCCUCUGCGAAGCGGCUUCGUCAAGUGGCGCCUGAGCCAACCCGGUGGCAUCCCGAGUAGUUACUGGGUGACCUCCUGACCUUCGUGUAAUCGAGGCUUAGAACAAUAUGAUCCGGAAAAACAGGCGGCUGACUGGAACAGAAGUGAGAACAAAGGAUUUCGGACUCAUAAUCCAUCAAAACACUUUGCCCUUCAAGAACAAUCUUGGGCUCAGUGAGUACAGAAAUAAGACAGUUCCCAGACUAGGGGAAUGAACAGGGUCAUGAAUGCGAAGCCGGCACAGCACUGGGGUGAAAGGACCCACCAGCCAGGGCUAAAGCUGAACGUUGCCUGUGACCAAGAAGCAGGCCUUGCCUGGUGGGGGAGGGGGGGGGGACAGGGGACCCACAGCCGCCGCGGGUAAGGCUGGAGCGUCCUGAAGGAGAGAUGGCUGCGUUGCGAUGACACCUGUGAAGACAGGUGGUGGCGCGAGGGCAGGAGACAGCCCCUGGGCAGGGUUUCCCAUGGGCUCCCGUUACUGCAGCUUUAUUCUGCCUUUUCACAGACCAGCUUCUUCCCAAACCUCAGGUCCCAGAUCAAACACACCCCUCCUUCAGAAUGUUGUGGCAGAAACACCUUCCCGGAGGAGCUAUCACAGGACAUCUCCCAACGACAGCCCAACGUUAGAUUUGCCGCCAGGUGCUCCCUGUAACUUCCCCACCAACACAGCUUGCACACAAGAGAGAGAAAGGGAGAAAGAAAACUUGUCUAAAGUACAAAAGGUGGAUGGUAACACAAAGCCACCCCCCUCAGAUGCUUCCAGAAGGAAAUAUGAAGAGCUCUAGGAAACCAUGGAAGCCACUAUGCUCUGUACAUCCACAUUUGGCUUCUCUUUCUUUAAUUUCCCUGAUCAACCCAUGCGCUCUGAAAUAAAUUUCAGAAAAAGUAUUUCGGUACUCUAGGU
ensembl:lncRNA